GAGGACCUUUGGCGGCGCGCCUAACACAUGCAAGUCGAACGAGCGAGAGAGAGCUUGCUUUCUCAAGCGAGUGGCGAACGGGUGAGUAACGCGUGAGGAACCUGCCUCAAAGAGGGGGACAACAGUUGGAAACGACUGCUAAUACCGCAUAAGCCCACGGGUCGGCAUCAACCAGAGGGAAAAGGAGCAAUCCGCUUUGAGAUGGCCUCGCGUCCGAUUAGCUAGUUGGUGAGGUAACGGCCCACCAAGGCAACGAUCGGUAGCCGGACUGAGAGGUUGAACGGCCACAUUGGGACUGAGACACGGCCCAGACUCCUACGGGAGGCAGCAGUGGGGAAUAUUGCACAAUGGGGGAAACCCUGAUGCAGCGACGCCGCGUGGAGGAAGAAGGUCUUCGGAUUGUAAACUCCUGUUGUUGAGGAAGAUAAUGACGGUACUCAACAAGGAAGUGACGGCUAACUACGUGCCAGCAGCCGCGGUAAAACGUAGGUCACAAGCGUUGUCCGGAAUUACUGGGUGUAAAGGGAGCGCAGGCGGGAAGACAAGUUGGAAGUGAAAUCCAUGGGCUCAACCCAUGAACUGCUUUCAAAACUGUUUUUCUUGAGUAGUGCAGAGGUAGGCGGAAUUCCCGGUGUAGCGGUGGAAUGCGUAGAUAUCGGGAGGAACACCAGUGGCGAAGGCGGCCUACUGGGCACCAACUGACGCUGAGGCUCGAAAGUGUGGGUAGCAAACAGGAUUAGAUACCCUGGUAGUCCACACCGUAA
rnacentral:rRNA from 1 species